GCUGACAACCCACGCUACGCCACUGAGCGCAACACUUUCCACGUGGGCAUCGUCGCCCCAGCCUGCGCGCACACAGAGCCUCUUGUUCUAAGCGCUUCUCGCCCGCCUCUCUCGCUUUGGAGCAAGAAGCAGCUGGGAUAUUGUUGGCGCUAGAGGACUGGCUUUGUAGCCAGGGGCAGAAGUGCAGGAUUCGAAUUCACCACUACCCCAGGCUACGGAGUCGGGACUCCAUGUAUGUGCACAAUGGGGCUGGGACCGCUGGGUGGCUAUGUGAGCGUGUGUGUGUGUGUCCCCGCUUCUCUCCCCUAUGGGGGAAAUAAAAUUGACCUACCUCGCUUUUGCUCCUGCCGCUCUUUAUUAUGGGCAGCAGCGGAGUAGAAUUUGCACUAACGCCUAUUACUUUUCAUAUUGCAGGUGCAGAUAUGCAUCCCUUGGUGCUGUGUGUGAAUAUGAAAUAAGUAUUUUCAAAGUAAAAAUAAAAGAGCUCUACAGUAUCCUGUUUGAGGAGAGGCAACCAGAACUGUACUCAGUAUUCCAAAUGUGGGCGCACCAUAAGAUUUGUAUUGUCCAGCUGGCCAUGGCAGGAAACAGGAUGCCGAACCAGCCAAGCAAGAGGCAUUAUCAGAGUUCAAAGGCACAUUCUGGCUGGGAUGCAAAGCAAGGCUAAUGGGGGGAGUAGCUUGGAGGGCCUCAUGGUUUGAUGUUCUCCAUCCCAGGCAAGUACCUGUAUGAACUGAACAUGGGCAAGGGGGGAGGUAGAUUACUAUGUAUGUUACUGUUUAAUUUGUAAGAUGCCGAGAAUUAUUAUUUUUUAAAUUGAAGUGUGACUUACAUUCUUUAAACAAAAGUGUGAAAGUAAUAAUAGAUCAAGAUUUCCCAGACAACCUCUGGAUCGGUUGCAAUAAAUAAGCAAUUGGACUUCCACUGGAUGCAAAAGUCUGGUUCUCUGGCCCCAAAUUCAGCUGGUUAAUGAAGAGUGUAUAAGAGGGAGUGCAGAAGUGGGGUUUUGGAGAAAAGAACAGCAAGCUCAAAUCUGGUGCACAAAUCCCAUCCCUGGGCUCAGCUCAGUGUGUUAAAAGCCUCCCUGUUCCUUCUUUCUUUUUCCUUUUUUAUAAAUAUUUUUAUUGAGUUUCAGUUCUCGUAGUCGGGAAAUUUACAGAAUAAAGAAAAAAGAAAGAGAAUAAAGAGAAAGAAAGAUAAAAAAAACCAAUUUUCCAUAAUAUUUUUCCAAACCCAUUGGACUUCCCCAGAUCCUCCAAAUCCUGCAUUCUUUGUAAUAGAAAUAUCAGCAAUUUGUUACCUUGUUUCAUAUCUUAUUGUAUCUUUCAGUUAUCAUGUUUCUAAAUUCCAAAUAGUGUAUCCUAAUUCUUAUACUUUUUAAAAUAAACAUAAUAAAAUUA